UUUAUUUUUCCAGGUUUGUUAAUUCUAUUAUGGUUACAAAUAUUUUUUAAAUCCUUUUUUUUAUAAACACAAUUAUUUACAGAUUAAAUUACAAGACAACUGGUUUGUUUUAAAAAUCAUAAAACUGAGGCCAGGUGCGCUGGCUUAAACUUGUAAUCCCAGCCUGUAAUCUCCGUUUCAAAAAAAAAAAAAAAGAAAUCAUAAGAUGGAUGGCGGUAUAGAUGAAACUACUUAUCCAUGAGUAGAUAAUGGGGGACAUGAGGGGACAUUGCACUAUUUUCUCUCUUUUAAUACAUAUUUGAAAUAGUCCAUAGUAUUCUUUUUUUAAAUCCAUGCAAUAUAUGAUGCCAUCUUCAAGGUAAAAAUUUCCCGAACUACAGGACAUGGUGUAAAGUAAAAUCAGAAGCCGCUCUGAUGGGGACCACUGCUGGAGUUUUGUCAUAAAUAUGUAUAAAAACAUCCUGGACCCCAUCAUCU
rnacentral:lncRNA from 1 species